CAGGGAAAUGGAUAAUUUUGAUCAACCUCCGUCUCAGAAAAAUCUGUAUGAUACAUGCGUAAGGUCAUCACAGAGGAUCUCCAGGGUGAGCAGUCUCAUCAGAAAUCAGGUAGAAAUACAGAAAGCAAUCAAUGGGCUUGAUGCAGCAGGACAAGUGUUGCCAGGAGUUGUGAAACAACCCUUCUCUUCCCAAUGGCCCAUGAAGGAAGGAGACAAAUACAAAGAAUAAAUGCCAUCCCAAAUGCUGUUCUCUGUGGUGUUCCUAUAGAGCCUAGUGGACCUAGAAGAAAGCCAGUGUAGGACUCAUGGUCCUGCUAAUGAAGAUGUUAUCUCCGGAAACUUUCUGCAUUACUCAGCAUUGUGCUAUCCAGCUGCCAAAUAGUAUGUCCUUCAUUACCAAGACAAUUCUCUGAACAGCUGCAACAAUGCUGGGAAAUGCCACCUGAAAUUAGAAGACAAGAUCAAGUUUUGAGAAGAUAUAAUAUUUUAUUUUAUUAGUUUACAAUAAACUGUACCAUCUUCGGCAACAAAUAAAUGAACUUUUAUUAGAGACUUUUAUUACAGAGACUUUUAUUAGCUUUGUGGCUAGCAUGUGUUUGCAUGCCUAGUUUUGAAAUGACGGUUAUGCUUCUUAAUAG